rnacentral:rRNA from 1 species
GAUGAACGCUGGCGGCGUGCCUAAUACAUGCAAGUCGAGCGAACAGACGAGGAGCUUGCUCCUCUGACGUUAGCGGCGGACGGGUGAGUAACACGUGGAUAACCUACCUAUAAGACUGGGAUAACUUCGGGAAACCGGAGCUAAUACCGGAUAAUAUAUUGAACCGCAUGGUUCAAUAGUGAAAGACGGUUUUGCUGUCACUUAUAGAUGGAUCCGCGCCGCAUUAGCUAGUUGGUAAGGUAACGGCUUACCAAGGCAACGAUGCGUAGCCGACCUGAGAGGGUGAUCGGCAAAAAUGGAACGGAAACACGGUCCAGACUCCUACGGGAGGCAGCAGAAGGGAACCUUCCGCAAUGGGGGAAAGCCUGACGAAGCAACGCCGCGGAGGUGAUGAAGGUCUUCGGAUCUAAAAACUCUGUUAUUAGGAAAAAACAAAUGGGUAAGUAACUAUGCACGUCUUGACGGUACCUAAUCAGAAAGCCACGGCUAACUACGUG